AUCGCUUCUUGGCCUUUUGGCUAAGAUCAAAUGUAGUAUCUGUUUCCCAGCUGCCUUGAAGCGAGCAGCUUUGGUUCAGCAUGCCUU
ensembl:snRNA U2 U2 spliceosomal RNA